CUCUGCCUGAACCCAGGUGCAGCUGGCCCCCUCUCUAAAGAAAAGAAAAUAGCAAACCUGCUUGCAGACAGAGGCUCAUCCACACCAGAGGGGCAGUGACCUCCCUUCAUUGCUUAAGUAUAAGGGUGGCAGCAGGACUUAACCUGGUAUGAGGGGAGCAACGCGGUGCCAGGGCCUCAGGGAAGAUGAUCAGGGCCUGCGUAGCUGCAGGGUAAGUGAUGAGAGGGAAGCCAGGCUGCCAGCUCCAGAAACUAAAAAGAAGAGGAGGUGAUGGCGAAGAAGGAAGGACUGGAUGGAAAAGGAAUAAAGUUGCCUUAUUCUCC
rnacentral:lncRNA from 1 species